UGGGGAAUUUUGGACAAUGGGCGCAAGCCUGAUCCAGCCAUUCCGCGUGCAGGACGAAGGCCUUCGGGUUGUAAACUGCUUUUGUACGGAACGAAAAGGCUCUGGCUAAUACCUGGGGCUCAUGACGGUACCGUAAGAAUAAGCACCGGCUAACUACGUGCCAGCAGCCGCGGUAAUACGUAGGGUGCAAGCGUUAAUCGGAUUCACUGGGUUUAAAGGGUGCGUAGGCGGGCAGGUAAGUCAGUGGUGAAAUCUCCGGGCUUAACCCGGAAACUGCCGUUGAUACUAUCUGUCUUGAAUGCCGUGGAGGUGAGUGGAAUAUGUCAUGUAGCGGUGAAAUGCUUAGAUAUGACAUAGAACACCUAUUGCGAAGGCAGCUCGCUACACGGUUAUUGACGCUGAGGCACGAAAGCGUGGGGAUCAAACA
rnacentral:rRNA from 1 species